ACGGGGAGCAGCCCAGAGUCUGAAUCAGCUUGUGUGUUAGUGGAACGGUCUGGAAAGUCCGACGGUACAGGGUGAUAGUCCCGUACACCAAAAUGCACAGGCUGUGAACUCGAAGAGUAGGGCGGGACACGUGGUAUCCUGUCUGAAUAUGGGGGGACCAUCCUCCAAGGCUAAAUACUCCUGACUGACCGAUAGUGAACCAGUACCGUGAGGGAAAGGCGAAAAGAACCCCGGCGAGGGGAGUGAAAAAGAACCUGAAACCGUGUACGUACAAGCAGUGGGAGCACCUUCGGGUGUGACUGCGUACCUUUUGUAUAAUGGGUCAGCGACUUAUAUUCUGUAGCAAGGUUAACCGUAUAGGGGAGCCGCAGGGAAACCGAGUCUUAACUGGGCGUUAAGUUGCAGGGUAUAGACCCGAAACCCGGUGAUCUAGCCAUGGGCAGGUUGAAGGUUGGGUAACACUAACUGGAGGACCGAACCGACUAAUGUUGAAAAAUUAGCGGAUGACUUGUGGCUGGGGGUGAAAGGCCAAUCAAACCGGGAGAUAGCUGGUUCUCCCCGAAAGCU
rnacentral:rRNA from 1 species